ACAUUUGAUAAAUUUCAUUUGCAAUUGACAUUAAAUUCAAUUGCAAUUGCUAUUGCACUAACAUAGCAAACGCAUAAAUCGACUAAAGUUUCGUUUUCUGUCUCUUUUGCUCUUUCAGUAACAGAGCACACCAAAUUUAUUUGCCUCGACAAAUGUAAAGUAAAUGCAAAUGCAAUAACAGAAAAGCUUUAUAGUCGCAUCUCGCUCUCUCUGAGUGAACGAACAAAUUCGCUCUAUCGCAUUUGUCUCUCUCCUCUCUUUAGCAAUGCCUUGCCAAAAGCAACGGAUCUUGUUUCGCACUUGUUUGCUGUACUCCCUUUGAUUUAGUCGUUUGUGUGUAUUGAAUAGAACACUUGGAGUAGCUGCGAUUGGAAUAUUUCGUAUAACGGUUGCUGGGAUUGUUUUUAUAGUGGAAUAAGCACAUACGCAAGUCUGUCAGUAAGUUGUGGUACAGUCGCUGCAGAGUCGUUGGUGCAGCCGGAAAUCGCUAGCAAUUGCACGUUCGGGUCUCCUGUGCGUGUCUUCCAAAUUUUGUUUGUCUAUGUUUCUACAUUUUGGAAAUGCGGCAACAGCAACAACAAGAACCACAACAACAACAGCAGCGGCAGAAGCAGCAGCAGCGCUGCGACUGUAGAAUAACAAAUAAUUAGCAUUAACCACGCAAUUGACUGCAGUCGUGGCAGAGACUGCGGCAGAGGCAGCGGCAGCAAAAACGGCGAUUUGAGUGCAAUGUGCACAGCUCAAGCAGCAUAAAUAUACGAAACGCACACACACACACACACACGCGUACACAAAUAAAUGCGUACAAGCAUAGGCGAAGACGGAGACGAAGACCACGAAAACAGACGCGAACGCCAAUCAAGCGAAGAACAACAACAACAACAGCGCAGCAUAAGCAGCGGCAGCAGCAGCAGCAAAAGCAACAAAGAUAAUACAUUUUUGGAAAUGUCAACAAAACGAAGAACGAAAACAAAUUGUGUAAAAGUAAAAGAAAAUGCCAAUGUUGUGUGAGGAGAGGCAAGCGCAAAAGCGAGUGCGAGCGAGAGCGAGUGCGUGAAUGCGCCAGCAUGGGACGUGGGCGCAGUGCUGCGUUUUAUUUAUUUAUUUUUUUACUUGAUCAGCGAACGCAAAGAUGGCGGCGUUGGAGCUGCGCAUACGAAAAGGCAAUUGGUAAAAAUGCAAAUAAUUGAAGAGUCGAGAAUGCUAGUUCAAUUUGACGUGUUCAUUCGGACUUGUUUAUGGCUUUCGAACUAGAACAGCUUAACUUAAUUAGGUUUUAUUGGACUCUAUUUUUAAUGGCAAUUAAUUACAAAUAUAUUUAUUAAGAAUUC